rnacentral:rRNA from 1 species
AUUGAACGCUGGCGGCGUGCCUAACACAUGCAAGUCGAGCGAGAAAGGGUCCUUCGGGGCCUGAGUAGAGCGGCGCACGGGUGAGUAACGCGUGGAUAAUCUACCUAGAAGAUCGGGAUAACAGCGGGAAACUGCUGCUAAUACCGGAUACGCUUCGUAUUUAAACGUACGGGGGAAAGGCGGCCUCUGCUUGCAAGCUGUCGCUUUUAGAUGAGUCCGCGUCUCAUUAGCUAGUUGGCGGGGUAAUGGCCCACCAAGGCGACGAUGAGUAGCCGGCCUGGGAGGGUGGCCGGCCACACGGGAACUGAAACACGGUCCAGACUCCUACGGGAGGCAGCAGUGGGGAAUAUUGCGCAAUGGGGGAAACCCUGACGCAGCGACGCCGUGUGAGGGAAGAAGGCUUUCGGGUCGUAAACCUCUGUCAGGAGGGAAGAACCGAUUGGAGUCGAACAGGCUCCUUUCCUGACGGUACCUCCAAAGGAAGCACCGGCUAACUCCGUGCCAGCAGCCGCCGUAACAC